rnacentral:rRNA from 1 species
GAUGAACGCUGGCGGCGUGCUUAACACAUGCAAGUCGAACGAAGCACUUUAUUUGAUUUCCUUCGGGACUGAUUAUUUUGUGACUGAGUGGCGGACGGGUGAGUAACGCGUGGGUAACCUGCCUUGUACAGGGGGAUAACAGUUGGAAACGGCUGCUAAUACCGCAUAAGCGCACAGCAUCGCAUGAUGCAGUGUGAAAAACUCCGGUGGUAUAAGAUGGACCCGCGUUGGAUUAGCUAGUUGGUGAGGUAACGGCCCACCAAGGCGACGAUCCAUAGCCGACCUGAGAGGGUGACCGGCCACAUUGGGACUGAGACACGGCCCAAACUCCUACGGGAGGCAGCAGUGGGGAAUAUUGCACAAUGGGCGAAAGCCUGAUGCAGCGACGCCGCGUGAGCGAAGAAGUAUUUCGGUAUGUAAAGCUCUAUCAGCAGGGAAGAUAAUGACGGUACCUGACUAAGAAGCACCGGCUAAAUACGUGCCAGCAGCCGCGGUAAUACGUAUGGUGCAAGCGUUAUCCGGAUUUACUGGGUGUAAAGGGAGCGCAGGCGGUGCGGCAAGUCUGAUGUGAAAGCCCGGGGCUCAACCCCGGUACUGCAUUGGAAACUGUCGUACUAGAGUGUCGGAGGGGUAAGCGGAAUUCCUAGUGUAGCGGUGAAAUGCGUAGAUAUUAGGAGGAACACCAGUGGCGAAGGCGGCUUACUGGACGAUAACUGACGCUGAGGCUCGAAAGCGUGGGGAGCAAAGCAGGAUGAGAUACCCUGGUAGUCCACGCCGUAAACGAUGGAAUAAUAGGUGUGGGGAAGCAUUGCUUCUCGGGGCCGUCGCCAACGCAGCAAGUAUUCCACCUGGGGGGUGCGUUCGCACGAAAGAAACUCAAAGGAAAUGACGGGGACCCGCACAAGCGGUGGAGCACGUGGUUUAAUUCGAAGCAACGCGAAGAACCCUACCAAGUCUUGAGAUCCUUCUGACCGGUACUUAAUCGUACCUUCUCUUCUGUGCAGGAGUGACAGGUGGUGCAUGGUUGUCGUCAGCUCGUGUCGUGAGAUGUUGGGUUAAGUCCCGCAACGAGCGCAACCCUCAUCUUUAGUAGCCAGCGGUUCGGCCGGGCACUCUAGAGAGACUGCCAGGGAUAACCUGGAGGAAGGCGGGGAGGACGUCAAAUCAUCAUGCCCCCUAUGACUUGGGCUACACACGUGCUACAAUGGCGUAAACAAAGGGAAGCAAAGCUGUGAAGCCGAGCAAAUCUCAAAAAUAACGUCUCAGUUCGGACUGUAGUCUGCAACCCGACUACACGAAGCUGGAAUCGCUAGUAAUCGCAGAUCAGAAUGCUGCGGUGAAUAAAAUCCCGGGUCUUGCAC